AACGAACGCUGGCGGCGCGCCUAAUACAUGCAAGUCGAGCGAGAAGACGUAGCAAUACGUUUGUAAAGCGGCGAACGGGUGAGGAAUACAUGGGUAACCUACCCUCGAGUGGGGAAUAACUAGCCGAAAGGUUAGCUAAUACCGCGUACGCUCCUUGGACUUCGGUUCAGGGAGGAAAGCGAUACCGUGGGUAUCGCGCUCUUGGAUGGGCUCAUGUCCUAUCAGCUUGUUGGUGAGGUAACGGCUCACCAAGGCUUCGACGGGUAGCUGGUCUGAGAGGACGAUCAGCCACACUGGCACUGCGACACGGGCCAGGCUCCUACGGGAGGCAGCAGUAAGGAAUAUUGCGCAAUGGGCGAAAGCCUGACGCAGCGACGCCGCGUGGGGGAUGAAGGUCUUCGGAUUGUAAACCCCUUUCGGGAGGGAAGAUGGAACGAGCAAUCGUUCGGACGGUACCUCCAGAAGCAGCCACGGCUAACUU
rnacentral:rRNA from 1 species